AUUGAACGCUGGCGGCAGGCCUAACACAUGCAAGUCGAGCGGAGCGGCGGACGGGCGAGUAAUGCCUAGGAAUCUGCCUGGUAGUGGGGGAUAACGUCAGGCUACGGGCGCUAAUACCGCAUACUAUCAGAUGAGCCUAGGUCGGAUGAGCUAGUUGGUGGGUUAAAGGGCUACCACGGCGACGAUCCGUAACUGGUCUGAGAGGAUGAUCAGUCACACUGGAACUGAGACACGGUCCAGACUCCACCGGGAUGCAGCAGUGAGGAAUGUUGGACAAUGGGCGAAAGCCUGAUCCAGCCAUGCCGCGUGUGUGAAGAAGGUCUUCGGAUUGUAAAGCACUUUAAGUUGGGAGGCGUUACCAACAGAAUAAGCACCGGCUAACUACGUGCCAGCCGCCGCGGUAAUAC
rnacentral:rRNA from 1 species